UUAAAUGUGUGUGACGUUUAACCACAGUCCAUCUAAAAUUAUACCUUUAGUUCUAAAAUAAUGAAAUUUUGCUUAAUGUAAAACAAAUAUUUGUCCACAUCCAUUUUCUUCUAUUAUUGUGUUUUUUGACAAUUAAAUGUUUCACAUUCUGUGAUGAUCCUGGCACUGCAGCUGAUCCUGCUCACUAUCAACUCACCUGUUCAGUCUCCACCCUCUUUGCAAUCAACCCCGACUGGUUCCACCUGUCUUCACCUGCAUAUAAGCUCCGUCCAAGUCAGCCUCCAGUGCCAGAUUGUCUCAAGCCACCCGCACGAGCCUUCCAGCGUUACUUAUUCUGCCUGUCUGUGUCUGACCUCCGUUACCGAGCAUGCCUGUCCCCUUUAACUGUCUGUUCCUGUGGAUAUUGGACCUGGAACUGAACCUGGAACCCCAAACCCUCCCGCCUGUCUCUAGCUGACUCUCUGCGCCCAGGCUCCUCUCGUUAUCCGGUUAGUCUCUCAGUCUGUUCCACGUUGCUAACCUGCCACUGCAGCCGCUAACCUGUCCCUCUGCCUCCAGGGAGCUCCAGUCCGUUAGCGAGAGCUGCACGCUCGAGAGCCGGCGCUGUUCAACCCUGCUUCUCGAUAAACUGUUUGAAACAGUUGAACUGACCUGUCGUGGUUGAAUCUUGGGUCCGAAUCUGGUACAUUACACAUUCUCAAACAAACUUUAGGAUCAGACAAAGAUUACAGGAAUAUGUACAAAAUGCAUUUUUCAAAUGAUAUAAUUUAUUAAGGCAAAAAAAAAAACAAUCCAAACCAGCCUCACUCUAUUUGAAAAAGUUUUUGCACCCUAAACCUAAACACUGCUUGUGCUAUUCUGUCAAGUCAACUGGCAAUGGCUCCAUCUUCUUUGCGGAAUUGUUUUAAUUCUGCUACAAAGCAUGGUUGUCGAACAUAAACCGCCUGUUUAAUUGGAUAUUAGUCCUCAGUUUGACUAUGUCCCUUCAAAACCUUUCCUUUCUUUUGAGCUAUUUAGAGAUGGACUUGGUGGUGCAUGACCCCAGGGUGCUUGGGCCUACGGUCAGAAACUAAUGGCUUAAAAGCAGGAUCCAUGCUUUACAACGAUGGACGUGAUGCCACCUGUCAAUCAAUCCUGGUGGCUCAUCAGCAACUGAACAAUCAGUGAUCGCCAUUUGUUCCCAAGUUGAUUGGGAACAAAUGGGGCUGGGUCCGUGACCACUGCUUAAAGCAUCAUUAUUUGAUGCUUACCUGCAGGCCUUUUACCUCCAAUGACAUUAUUAUACAAUAAUAUGUCUGCUCGGCUUGAACUCUGACUCCCAGUGUGCCUGACUUCACCUUGCAGCGUACACUGUAUCGAAGAGACCCAAGAAUUCUCUGAGUUUCCUCACGUUUGAACACGUGGUGGACCCCAUGAUGUUUCACUGGACAAAAGCUGCACAUAGCCUUUUUCCCUUCAAAGAAGAGCUUUUAAGUUUGGAACCAACAGACAAAUCUGUGUGGUCUCCCUUUUACACUCUGUCGUAGGAUUGACAGAGGAGGGCUAGACUCAAUUUCAAGCGCACAACCUCAAGGAGAAGACGAGAAGUCCUCACCCUUUUACGUCAACAGAUGAGGCGACAUUCUUUCCUGCUUUGGCCAAGCAGUUCACAAGGACAGCUACUGCGAUCUCAGCUCCGCACACACCGGAUGAGCCGACACACCUGCAACCGCCACUGAAGCCAGCGUGACACAGCUAGGACCCACCAGCCUCUUGCGCUGAGCUAAACUACAUUCCUGGGUCGUUCCUGGACUGGUCUGCCGACAGGGAGUACCAGGGGGGAAGAAACCAUUUAAUAUCUUAUAGAGCUAGAAAUCAAUACUGGGCCUGGGCAGAGGUUUUGAUUUGAAGUAGGUUUAAUCCUGAUAUUUUACUCCAGAAGGAGUUCUGUUGAAUGUCUUCCCAUUGUGACAUAAUUCAUGUGAUAAUCUGCUUAUUGUGGUCAUUUUGGUUUGGUCAUUUUGGUUUCUGUGAAACAACUGCGCUGACGGCUGAGAUUAUUAUCCUGGAUUUUAUCAUUAAGCUCCAUUUUCUUUUCGUAUCCUCUCUUUUCCCGUUUCUUGGUUUUCCCAUGGAUAUUGUUUGAAGCUCACUAUUUUUAGCCAGGUAGCUAUUGUUUCGAGUUAGUCCCUCCGUUUGCCUUCCCUCACGGUUGCCUGGGCUAACAAUUGUUAGCAGCUAGCUUAUUGUCUUAGCCCGCUAUUUGGAGGCUUUAGUUAUAAACUGUUUUGAAGCUAACUGUGGCUAGUGGGUUAGCUAUUGUCUGGAUCGCCGCUUAUGGUAAACUGAUUUACCAUUAGGCAAAACUUGGCAGUUGCCCAUAUAAUUCCUUAUACAUGUAUGGUUAAUGCAGUUAUUACUCAUUUGUACACAUUAAUUGUGUUUUUGAUUAAAAUCCUUUUGCUAAAAUACCCACCUUCAGUCUCCACUACAUUGGAUCAGUCCAUCUUGCUGCACAUGUGCAGAAGGGUCCAGGCAGACCGCAGCAAACCAUUUGAAAACAAAUUUACAUCCUUUCAGAAAAAGUAUUCUUUUGUGCUACACAGCAAGGUUACCUUCUCUGUAACCAGGCCAGACUGACUCAAUAGGGCCAGUAGCUCUUUUUAUAAAUUCUAAGCCCCGCCCUACAAUUAGAUCAGCAAACAAUUGAGCAUUUAUUUUAUGACAUAACACAAAAAAACACUUAUCCCAAGAAAACAUAUUCAUUUCCUGCUUCCAUUCCAAAGCUACUUUCUUUAGUUAAAAAAAAAAUACAAUUAAGCUUGCUGGCGAAAAAUCACUGAUUUCCUUUAUAGGAAAAAACAACAGGAAAAAGAAACCAGAAGUAUUACGCCCACCUUCUUUCAAACGCCACAGUCGGACAAAACAAAGCUACAUGGAAUGAGACAGGGAUGGGCUGUGACAGAGAGAGUUCAAAAAUGAUCCAACCAGGCUUUGAUAAUGAUGUUGUUCCACCAGACUGUGAGUCCAGCAUCAUUCACUCUGCUGGUAAGCAGUCAGCACAGUGGACUUCCUGAAGAUGACCCAGCUCUGGCCAAAACAGCUGUCUGAUCGUCCACGCUGCUCAAUAGUACUGAGAGGACCGCUCCAGGUGAAGAACGGGAUCUUCCCAUGAAAUGAAGACAGGACAUCCAAGAGCCCGACAUUGACUGGGACGUUGCUGCUGAGUAUGAUGGACAUGUGGAUGGUGCAAUAGUGGUCUCUGAAUUUCCAUGUCCACUCAAUGAACAGCAACUGGCUGAGGUGCAGUUGCUGCUUGAAAAUGAAGCUGAGAGUGAUGUUCCUGAACUUUUUCUACUAUGUCAUGAAUAUGUGAUUACAGCUUUGUCAGGUGCUAAGUAGCCUAUAAAUGAACAAUGGCAUAUUUUGACCCAACAUAAAUAAACAUUGCCCAUUAUGGCCACGGCUUUGCUUUUUUCUAUUCAAUACAAAAAAAAAUUUUUUUGUCAUAGGGCAAUAAAAGCUGAAUGGUUUCUUUUUUAAAUGGAUUUCCAGUCCCAAAUUUAUACUGAAAUAAUUAUGUUCAAAGGUAAGUACUUUAAACUGUGAUGAAUUGAUGAGCUAUCUUGAGUGUGAGUUUCUUGCCUGUAGCCUGUUGAUAGACUCAGAGCAACGUGAACAAAUUAAUACAGUAACUUUUCUUUUUUGGUGGUUGGAGGGGAGUUGAUGCACAGGUAAUGCACUAUUUUCUGGCUGCUAAUGUCUGAUUCAGACAAUAUCCCUGGGUUUAUAUGGACAUUUUAAUUGGUUAUCAUCCCAGUCAUGCAAGACCAUAGAAAAUGUUAAACUUGCAGGAGAGCUUGGGUUCCAGGAAAAUCUGAGGCACAGUUAAUGCUUUAAAGAAGGUCCCUAAACAUUUCAACGGGAGCUUAUGAUAGGCCCUAUUGGUGUAUCCUACCUAGUGCAUCAGAUUUAAAUAUAAAUGCUGAUUUUUAGAGAUAGAUGGAAUGUUAUUUGAAUUACCAUGAAAAAUAAGCAAAAGUAGUUUUGUGUACACAAAACUACACAACGUUGCUCCCCAUUGUGAUAAAAUAAACGGAACAUGUAACAGGUUGAUAAAGUUGUUGUUUUAAAACGUACACGUUAAUGUAAUUCUUUAAAUCUAACCCUUAUCUACUAUUAAUGUGUCUUCACAUUAGUUUAUUUUAUUUUUAACUUGGAUAGAGUGGGUAUUACAGUAUUGUCACAGUUUUUUGUAACUCAUUAAAACAAAUACACAGUAGACUGGCAAGCAAAUUUAUUUAUAAAGCCCAAUUCAUACACUGGCUUAUUCAUACUGCAUUCAGUCAAAUCCAAGAUAAAGUGCACCAAAAGCUUUACUGAUUCUGUAUUUAAAUAAUUUUGAUUCAGAGGGAAAAAAAUGAAAUAUCUAGGUGACUCCUAUAUGAAUUGUGCUUAUUGCUGAAGGAGUGGAGACUUGUAGUGAACCCUUAUAGUCUUAUCGACUAUUUAAUAGUUAACAUAAUGAAUAUGGUUGCUCAUUUCAGAGAUAGACUUACCACUGGG